rnacentral:rRNA from 1 species
AAGUGCGGGACCGAAAGGCCGCAUGCCAUGAGAUGAGCCCAAGUGGGAUUAGGUAGUUGGUGGGGUAAAGGCCUACCAAGCCCGCGAUCUCUAGCUGGUCUGAGAGGAUGGCCAGCCACACUGGAACUGAGACACGGUCCAGACUCCUACGGGAGGCAGCAGUGGGGAAUAUUGCGCAAUGGGGGGAACCCUGACGCAGCCAUGCCGCGUGAAUGAAGAAGGCCUUCGGGUUGUAAAGUUCUUUCGGUAUUGAGGAAGGAGUGUAUGUUAAUAGCAUACAUUAUUGACGUUAAAUACAGAAGAAGCACCGGCUAACUCCGUGCCAGCAGCCGCGGUAAUACGGAGGGUGCGAGCGUUAAUCGGAAUAACUGGGCGUAAAGGGCACGCAGGCGGUUAUUUAAGUGAGGUGUGAAAGCCCCGGGCUUAACCUGGGAAUUGCAUUUCAGACUGGGUAACUAGAGUACUUUAGGGAGGGGUAGAAUUCCACGUGUAGCGGUGAAAUGCGUANAGAUGUGGAGGAAUACCGAAGGCGAAGGCAGCCCCUUGGGAAUGUACUGACGCUCAUGUGCGAAAGCGUGGGGAGCAAACAGGAUUAGAUACCCCUGGUAGUCCACGCCUGUAAACGC